AUGCUCGCUUUGGCAGCACAGACUGUAAAAUUGGACUGACACAGAGAAGAUUGGCAUGGCCCCUGCUCAAGGAUGACACGCAAAUUCGUGAACCAUUCCUUUU